AAAAGGUGGCUAUGCUACCGCUUUUGGAUGGGCCCGCGGCGCAUUAGCUAGUUGGUGGGGUAAAGGCUUACCAAGGCAAUGAUGCGUAGCCGAACUGAGAGGUUGAUCGGCCACAUUGGGACUGAGACACGGCCCAAACUCCUACGGGAGGCAGCAGUAGGGAAUCUUCCACAAUGGGCGAAAGCCUGAUGGAGCAACGCCGCGUGGGUGAAGAAGGUCUUCGGAUCGUAAAACCCUGUUGUUAGAGAAGAAAGUGCGUGAGAGUAACUGUUCACGUUUCGACGGUAUCUAACCAGAAAGCCACGGCUAACUACGUGCCAGCAACCGCGGUAAUACGUAGGUGGCAAGCGUUAUCCGGAUUUAUUGGGCGUAAAGGGAACGCAGGCGGUCUUUUAAGUCUGAUGUGAAAGCCUUCGGCUUAACCGGAGUAGUGCAUUGGAAACUGGGAGACUUGAGUGCAGAAGAGGAGAGUGGAACUCCAUGUGUAGCGGUGAAAUGCGUAGAUAUAUGGAAGAACACCAGUGGCGAAAGCGGCUCUCUGGUCUGUAACUGACGCUGAGGUUCGGAAGCGUGGGUAGCAAACAGGAUUAGAUACCCUGGUAGUCCACGCCGUAAACGAUGAAUGCUAAGUGUUGGAGGGUUUCCGCCCUUCA
rnacentral:rRNA from 1 species